rnacentral:rRNA from 1 species
CCGGUGCUCUGUGAUACGUUUUCUACGAGUCGAGUUGUUUGGGAAUGCAGCUCAAAAUGGGUGGUAAAUUCCAUCUAAAGCUAAAUAUAGGCGAGAGACCGAUAGCGAACAAGUACCGUGAGGGAAAGAUGAAAAGCACUUUGGAAAGAGAGUUAAACAGUAUGUGAAAUUGUUGAAAGGGAAACGAUUGAAGUCAGUCAUGUCCAUUGGAUUCAGCUGGUUCUGCCAGUGUAUUUCCUUUGGACGGGUCAACAUCAGUUUGAGCCGGCGGAUAAUGGCAGAGGGAAUGUGGCACCCCCGGGUGUGUUAU